UGGUUUAUUGUAGUUUGGCUCUGGGUAAUAUCGAAGGCGAGGUGGAAGACCGUCGGGACGAGGAGCGAGCAGGAAGCCAGAACGUAAGCAGGUGGGGUAGCUUGGUGGCGUGGCUGGAGCAGUCACCGAGACAGGGAAGGCACGGAAGGAACACUGGAGACGGGAAAGAACAGAAUCGGCUACAAGUCAGUGAGCCUCAGGCAUCUUGGAGCAGGAUCACCUCCAUCACAUCAAACAUACCACCUGCCCCCUGUGAAACUCAGGCUGAAGCAGCCUGAAGACCACGUCUGUCAGCCGUCCUGAACUGCAAGGAACUUCAAAGGCAACCCCUUUAGACGCUGCUGACUGGCCAUCUCUUUCACACAACAUAAGAGUGGAGUUAGUCACCAGAGGGCCAUACCA